rnacentral:rRNA from 1 species
GAUGAACGCUGGCGGCGUGCUUAACACAUGCAAGUCGAACGGAAAGGCCCAAUCUUGCUUGGGUACUCGAGUGGCAAACGUGUGAGUAACACGUGGGUGAUCUGCCCUGCACUUCGGGAUAAGCCGUGGAAACUGGUUCUAAUACCUGAUAGGACGAUGGUUUGGAUGCCAUUGUUGGAAGUUUGUACGGUGGAGGAUGAGCUCGCGGCCUAUCAGCUUUUUUGUGGGGUAAUGGCCUACCAAGGCGUCGACGGGUAGCCGGCCUGAGAGGGUGUACGGCCACAUUGGGACUGAGAGACGGCCCAGACUCCUACGGGAGGCAGCAGUGGGGAAGAUUGGACAAAGGGAGCAAGCCUGAUGCAGCGAGGCCGCGUGGGGGAUGACGGCCUUCGGGUUGUAAAAUCCUUUCGCUAGGGACGAAGCGUUUCUGUGACGGUACCUGGAGAAGAAGCACCGGCUAACUACGUG